rnacentral:rRNA from 1 species
AACGUAGGAUCCGAGCGUUGUCCGGAAUCACUGGGUGUAAAGGGUGCGAAGGCGGGCUUGCGCGUCAAGGGUUAAAGACCUCGGCUCAACCGAGGGAAUGCCCUUGAUACGGCAGGCCUUGAGUGCGGGAGGGGUUGGUGGAAUUCCUGGUGUAGCGGGGGAAUGCGUAGAGAUCAGGAGGAACGCCGAAGGCGAAGGCACCCAUCUGGACCGCCACUGACGCUGAGGCACGAAAGCGUGGGGAGCAAACAGG